CACACCCGUCCUCAACCUGGCUGCCGCCGCCAAGAUAGCCGAUUCCCUCCAGCCGACUGAUUCAGAGGCUGGCAGAGGGAUCAAGCAGAUCCGUGCCCUGCUGCACACGGCGCAGCAGCAGAAUUCGGCGGUCUCCCAGUCGCACAACAGGAUCCAAAACAGUUAUGUUCAUGCGAUCACGCAUCGGCCAGUUUUCAGGCCCGAUUCUCAUCAGCGACACACAGGAGGCAGCCGUUCCAUGAAUCACGAAGAUCGUCGCCGUUCACGCACCCCUCCACGGGGUGGGCCCUACGGGCCCUGACAUCAUGAUGAUCGGCGUUCGGUCGGUGACACUUAUGAUCCAAGUCCCGACACAAGAGGGUACAUCGCCCAGAGGAAGGUCGACAGGAGCCGAGCCCACCGUGAUGGUCACGAUAGAGACCGUCCGAGUGGAAGUAGGACCAUCGUCUCUGGCCCCGAGUGUUUCAGUCGGGCCAUCCGUUCGGCUGACAUCCCUCCCAACUUCCGAUUGGCGACAGGAAUCAGCAAGUUUACAGGAGAAUCCAAGCCAGAAACGUGGUUGGACGACUACCGAGUGGCGUUCCAGAUCGGUGGUGGAGAUGACCAGGUCGCCAUGAAACACCUCCCCCUGAUGCUCGAUGGUUCGGCUCGAGCAUGGUUGAACCAGUUGGCUCCUUCAAGCAUCUACAGCUAGGCAGAUCUGGCCCGAGUCUUCAUCAGGACCUUUGAGGGCACGUGCAAAUGCCCUGCUGGUCUCGUGAAGCUCCAGCACUGCGUCCAGAAGCAGAAUGAGCCCCUGCGCGAUUUCAUCCAGCGUUGGGCAACCCUCUACCACACGAUGGAGAACGUCACAGAGCACCAAGCAGUCUGCGCCUUCAAGGCAGGCGUGCGGUACAGAGAUCUGUACCUGAAGUUCGGUCGGACAGGCGACAUCUCCAUGAGCAAGAUGAUGGAGAUAGCGGCACGCUAUGCAAAUGGCGAAGCAGAGAACCGCAUUCGUAGCGGCAAGCAUAAAGCAGUCGCCGAUGGAGAUGGGAACAACACUCAGAAGCAGAAGCAGAAAGCUCCGUCCACUCCGCAGGCAGAUGCUGCAGCCAUUACCAAUGCCAAGUUCAAGGGCAAGGGGAAGGCUCAGUCCACCCCCAAGAAGAAGCAGUUCGAAAACCACAUCCUGGAUCAGCCAUGUCCAAUCCACACGAAGAUGGACAAAGAAGGCAACGCCAUAUUCCCGAAGCAUACCACUCGGCAAUGUCGCCUCCUGAUCCAAGGGUUCGGCGAAGGGCAGCCGAGUGAAAAGGACAAUGAACAGGAUGGUGAGGACAAGGAGGAUCAGUUCCCCCAAGUCCAUGCAACACUGAUUAUUUUUGCUGACGUGGAAAGCAAGAGUCGACUGAAGCUGGUGAACAGGGAGGUGAACAUGGCCACCCCAACCAACCCCACGUUCCUCAAAUGGUCUCAGACUGCGAUCACCUUUGACCAGUCGGAUCAUCCAGCACACGUGCCCAACCCAGGGAGCCAGGCUCUGGUCGUCGACCCCGUGGUGGAAGGAGUUCGACUGCGCAAAGUCCUCAUGGACGGCGGCAGCGGCUUGAACAUCAUGUAUGCCGACACUCUCAAAGGGAUGGGCAUUCCGAUGUCCAAACUUAGCGAGAGCAGCAUGCAGUUCCACAGAGUCGUCCCUGGACGAAAGGCCAAGUCACUCGGCCAGAUCGCGUUGGACGUCGUUUUCGGCUUCGACAAGAACUUCCGCAAGGAAAAGCUGACAUUCGAGGUGGUGGACUUCCAGAGUGUAUACCACGCGAUUCUGGGCCGUCCGGCGUAUGCGCGUUUCAUGGCCCGUCCAUGUUACGUGUACCUGAAGCUGAAGAUGCCAGGUCCCAAAGGUGUGAUCACUAUCACAGGCAAUCGGCAGCGGGCCGAGGAGUGUGUGCAGCAGGGGUUGAGGAUCGCCGAUCAGCAAAUGGCCAUCCUCGAGCUGGACGAGUACAAGAAGACAGUCGACCCCGCUGACUUGAUGCGUUCGAAGAAGCCAACUUCGGAGUCCGCAUUCCAGUCGGCGGGAGACACGAAGAAGGUCAGCAUCCCCCCGACAGACGACGCCGCUGCCCCGACGAACAUCUCCACCACCCUUGAUCCAAAAUAGGAAGCCGAGCUCAUCCAAUUCCUCCGUGAGAACUGGGACAUUUUCGCAUGUAAGCCCGCUGACAUGCCAGGUGUACCCAGGGAGUUAGCUGAGCACCGAUUGCAUGUGGAUCCUGCUGCUCGGCCUGUCCGAGAACGCCUGCGUCGGUCCGCCGCGCGCAAGAGGAAGGCAAUCGGAGAGGAAGUGGCUAAACUUUUGGAAGCCAACUUCAUUCGCGAGGUACACCACUCCGAGUGGCUCGCCAAUGUUGUCAUGGUGCCCAAGAAGGACAAGUCUCUCCGAAUGUGCAUCGACUUCAAGCAUCUGAAUAAGGUCUGCCCGAAAGACCAUUUCCCGCUCCCCCUCAUCGAUCAAAUUGUCGAUUCGACUGCGGGUUGCGAGCAUUUGUCAUUCCUUGAUGCCUACUCGGGCUAUCAUCAGAUCCGUCUGUAUGGCCCCGAUGAAUUAAAAACAGCCUUCAUCACCCCAUUCGGGUGCUUCUGCUACAUCACUAUGCCAUUCGGUUUGAAGAAUGCAGGAGCAACUUUUAUGCGCAUGAUCCAAAAAUGUCUCCUUGACCAGAUCGGUCGGAAUGUGGAAGCGUAUAUGGAUGAUAUCGUAGUCAAGUCACGCAAAGGUUCCGGCCUGCUGACUGACUUGGCAGAAACAUUCGCUAACCUUCGUAGGUACGAUAUCAAGCUCAACCCUGCCAAGUGUUCAUUCGGUGUUCCCAGCAGAAAGUUACUCGGUUUCUUUGUUUCCGAACGAGGGAUCGAUGUCAACCCCGAAAAGAUCGGGACCAUCGUCCGAAUGGAGCGGCCGGUCAGAAUACACAAUGUUCAAAGGCUCACAGGUUGCCUAGCGGCUUUGAGCAGGUUUAUCAGUCGACUCGGCGAGAAAGCGCUACCUCUGUACCGACUCAUGAAGAAAUCAGAUACUUUAGAGUGGACAGACGAAGCCCAAAUUGCAUUCGACGACCUCAAAGCCCUGCUUUCCACCCAGCCGGUUCUUACUACUCCGCUCAGUAAAGAACCCCUUCUUCUGUACAUCGCGGCUACAAAUCAAGUCGUCAGCACUGUUCUCACAGUCGAACGCGAAGAAGAAGGCAAGGCAUACAAGGUUCAGCGGCCAGUGUACUAUGUCUCCGAAGUCCUGACUCCUUCCAAGCAGAGGUAUCCCCAUUAUCAAAAGCUUAUUUACGGGAUUUACAUGACUGCAAAGAAGGUGGCUCAUUAUUUCCAAGACCAUUCGGUGACCGUCGUUUCUGAUGCUCCGUUGUCGGAAAUCCUCCACAAUCGGGACGCAUCAGGCCGAGUGGCGAAGUGGGCAAUGGAGAUGUUAUACUGCGACAUCAAGUUCGAGGCCAAGAAAGCUAUAAAGUCUCAAGCUCUGGCUGACUUCAUAGCAGAAUGGGUAGAACAACAGCAACCGACCCACAUCUACUCGGCUCAUUGGACAAUGUUCUUCGAUGGGUCCAAGAUGUUGAAUGGCUCCGGCGCUGGCGUUGUGAUCAUAUCGCCAAAAGGUGACAAACUCAAGUAUGUGUUGCAGAUACAUUUCGAUUCCUCCAACAACGAGGCAGAGUAUGAAGCUCUCCUUUAUGGAUUGUGCAUGGCCAUCACACUCGGCGUCCGUCGCCUGAUGGUCUAUGGAGAUUCAUAUUUGGUGGUUGAUCAAGUGAUGAAGGAGUGGGACGUAAGGAACCCCACCAUGACUACAUACUGCAACGCAGUGAGGAAGCUCGAGAAAAAGUUUGAAGGUCUGGAACUGCACCAUGUUCCGCGACUGAAAAACCAAGCAGCUGAUGAGUUGGCGAAACUUGGAUCCACUCGGAGACCAGUCCCGAGUGAUGUCUGCCUCGAGCACCUACACCUUCCCUAAGUUAAAGAAGAUCCCUUCACAGAGGAACCAGUACAACCAAAGAGCUCGACAGAUCCGACUGAAGUCGAGGUCCCCGCUGUGGUUGAUCUGAUCAUGGAGAUUCUUGCUAUCAUCCCCGAUUGGACUAUGUCGUUCAUUGCGUACAUCCUAAGGCGAGAAUUACCAGAAGAUGAGGUCCAAGCCAGACAGAUCGUCUGCAGGUCGAAGUCGUUCACCGUCAUUGAUGGCCAGUUGUACAAAGAAAGUGUUUCAGGCGUCCUUCAAUGAUGCAUCUCCCCUGAGGAGGGGCAGUUAAUCCUGGAAGAAAUUCAUUCGGGAACCUGCGGUCAUCAUGCCUCCUCAAGAGCAAUCGUCGCCAAAGCAUUCAGAGUUGGUUUCUUCUGGUUGCAGGCGAAUGAAAUGGCGAAGGAUAUGGUCGACCGAUGCGAAGGCUGUCAGUUCUACUCCAUGGUUAAACUCUUUCAGUCUAGUUUCUACCUCAUCUGAUGAGUACCUUGAUGCGGAGGAUCACUAUGAGGACAAUGACUUAGAUCAUCCUAUGUUUGCCAAAAUAAACAAAUUUGUGUGCUCUCUUAAAGGAAAGAAGCUCACUAUGUUUCGCAUACUUAUGGAAAUGGUGAGUAAGCACACCAAUACCAUCAAGGAACUCGAAACCCUCGUCACUGAGUAGAAGGAAAGGAAUGAAAUCCUUGAGCAGAAAGUCUUGUAUGAGGAAGCACAAAAUGAUGCAUUAUGCUCAAAAGUUGGUGAAAACCUUGAUAAACAUGCUAACGAUCUUGCCUCCUUGAAAAAGGCUGAAUCUGUGUGCAAAGAGUUAUUAAAUGAUAAAAACAGACUUGUGAAUUCUCAUGCUUCUCUUUCUAAGGCCUGUGAGCACCUAUCCUUGUCUCUCAAGGACAAGGAAGAGAAACUCACUGUUCUUACAAAGAGCUUUGAGGCACUCAAGGUUACUUACCUUGACACUCUAGCUAAGGCUUACUCCUCACCUAUUAUUAAUGUUGAUACCUGCACUGCUAACUCUAGUAGUGAACUGGCAUCUAUUCUUGAGGAAAACUGUUCGCUAAAGGCACAGCUAGAUAGAGGUCUCAUGACAUGUGCACAAGGACAAAAGACUCUCAAUGAGAUCUGAAGUCAACGCAAUGAGGUCUUUGCCAAGGAAGGGCUUGGGUUUAAUCCAAGCAUCGCCAAGAAAAGUGUAUCUCCUCUCAAGUGCACCACCCCGCUAACAUUUGUACGAGAGGGACACAAGGAGAAAGGUAAGGUUGUGAGUGGGUCGGCCACUAGGGGUUUGCCCACUCUCAACAGGACAACAGAGUUCAUGCCUCCAUCCUAUGUACUUCGCAAAUCAAAGGAAAGAGAGGUUUAUGCUAAAUUCGUUGGUCCCUGUAAUGCAUUCCGGUUUUAUGCUAUUUGGGUCCCUAAGACUCUUGUAACUAAUGUGAGAGGCCCCAUGACGAAAUGGGCACCUCAAACCAAGUCUUAAUUCGUGUACAUGAUGUUUUCUCCGGAGGAGUCAAAUGGGUGAUCGACAGUGGAUGCACCAAUCAUAUGACCAGAGAUAGUAACUUGCCCUAUGACUUCAUGCAAGCCAUUCCACCAUACAUGAGCAUUAUAUUCGGAGGAGGGUCGAAAGGACAGGUAAUUGGGUUGGGCAAGGUGGCAAUCACUAAUGACAUGUCUCUUGCAAAUGUCAUGCUUGUCCAAUCUCUUCAAUAUCAUUUGCUUUCAGUUUGCCAAUUGGCUUCCCUUGGUUAUGACACACUAUUUGGACUAACGGAUGUGAAAGUCUUUAAGAGAUACACUCUCGAAGUGGCCGUUGUUGGAGAGUUGGAUGGCAACCUUUACACGGUUGAUUUCUCGAAAGAGAGCACUUUCCAUACAACUUGUCUGAUGGCCAAGGCUGACAUGGGAUGGCUAUGGCAUCGCCGGCUCGCCCAUGUCGGCAUGGGAAAUCUUCAAAGUCUCUUAAAAGGCAAUCAAAUCCUUGGACUAACCAAUGUGUCUUUUAAGAAAGAUCGUGUGUCCAGUGCAUGCAUAGCUGGGAAGCAACAUCAAUCAAAACACCCACCCAAGAAUAUUGUAUCCACCUCAAGGCCUUUAGAGCUCCUUCAUGUGGAUCUGGUUGGGCCUCCUUCAUGGGAUAGUCUUGGUGGGAAAAAGUAUGGACUAGUCAUUGUUGAUGAUUACUCAAGAUACACAUGGGUAUUCUUUCUCAAGUCCAAGGAUGAGACGAAGAUCACCUUCAUUGAUUUUGCCAAACAAGUCCAGCGCAAGUUUGACAAGGCCAUCAAGGCAAUAAGAAGUGAUAAUGGCUCCGAGUUCAAGAAUUACACUCUAGAAGAAUUUCUUAGUGAUGAGGGAAUUGAACAUCAGUACUCUGCACCUUACACCCCUCAGCAAAAUGGUGUAGCAGAGAGGAAGAAUCUGACACUUGUGGAAAUGGCAAGGUCCAUGUUAGACGAAUACAAGUCACCGCAUAGUUUUUGGGCUGAGGUUGUCAACACAGCAUGUCAUGCAUCAAACCGGCUUUUCCUUCGACCAAUAUUGGAAAAUACUCCAUAUGAGCUCCUAACCGGGAACAAGCCCAAUGCCAAGUACUUUCGUGUAUUUGGAUGCAAGUGUUUCAUCCUCAACAAACGGGACCGGUUAGGAAAAUUUCAAUCCAAAACACCUGAAGGGAUUUUUGUUGGCUAUGGAUCAAACUCUCACGCCUACAGAGUCUACAACAAAUCCAAUGGAUGUGUUAUAGAAACCUGUGAUGUGAUGUUUGAUGAAUUUAACCGCUCCCAUGGGGAGCAAGUUGACCUAAGUGAUGCAGGUGAAGAAGAUUCCUCGCAAGAUAUCUUGAACAUGGGUGUAGGUGCACUUCUUCCCAUGGAAUAAGAACCUCAUGAUGAUGACUUUCUCAUCCUCAGGACAGUUCACUGCACGUACGUCCACAAGAUACUAGCACACAUAUCAUGUCAGUUGUUCAGGAUCAAGUGGGAGAACAUGUCUCUCACCCUGAUCACACUCAAGAACAAGUUGACCUUCAAGAGCAAGACCAAAGUAUGGAUAUUGUUGAUGAUGAACCUCAACAGGUGCAACGCGAAGAGGAAUAUCUUCCACCGCACGUUAAUGAUCCAUGUGUUGAGGACGAUGAUGAUGGAAACGAAGUCAAACCUCGUGAAACCAUGACCUCCAUCAUGCCACGUGUGGCCGGUCGUGUUGAUGUUGAUCAAAUCCUCACCGGCGUGUCGGAAGGUAGAGUGACUCGUAAACAUUUAACAAACUUUUGUGCUCACUUUUCGUUUGUCUCUAGUACUGUGCCACACAGGGUUCAUGAUGCAUUGUGUGACAAUGACUGGCUCCUUGCUAUGCAAGAAGAGUUAAACAGUUUUACACGCAACGAAGUAUGGUUAUUGGUAAAACGACCAACUGAGGAACACAAUGUCAUUGGAACUAAAUGGAUCUUCAAGAACAAGGAAGAUGAGAAUGGGACUGUCCUCCGCAACAAGGCAAGGUUAGUAGCACAGGGGUACUCCCAAGUUGAAGGUUUGGACUUUGGUGAGACUUUCGCCCCUGUUGCUCGUCUUGAAUCCAUUCGCAUUCUAUUGGCCUAUGCUGCUUUCAUUGGUUUUACUUUGCAUCAAAUGGAUGUGAAAAGUGCUUUCCUUAACGGUCCUCUACAAGAAGAGGUAUAUGUAUCACAACCACCUGGGUUUGUUGACCCCAAUUACAAAGACCAUGUGUACAAACUUCACAAGGCUCUGUAUGGCCUCAAACAAGCACCCCGUGCUUGGUACGAUCAUCUUAAGAAGUUCUUACUCGAUGAUGGCUUUGUGAGAGGGGUGAUCGAUCCCACUCUUUUUACUAAGAGGGAAAACGGUGAUUUGAUCUUAUGCCAAAUCUAUGUGGAUGACAUCAUUUUUGGUUCUCCUAACAUCCAUUUAUGCAAGAAGUUUGCGGCCUCCAUGACCAAGACCUUUGAGAUGUCACUCAAUACGGACUUGAAGUUCUUUCUUGGGUUUCAAAUACAACAAUUUCAAGAAGGAAUUUUCUUGUCUCAAACUAAAUACCUCAAGGACAUUCUAGAAAAAAUUAAUAUGACAAAUGCUAAACCAAUGAAGAUGCCCAUGGCCACAGAUGUUGUUCUAAAUGAAGGCACCAACGGUAUUCCUUUUGACCCAUCUACUUACCGCUCUAUGAUUGGUUCGUUGCUUUAUCUUUGUGCAUCUAGACCGGACAUCAUGUUAAGUGUAGGCAUAUGUGCUAGAUUCCAAGCUUCCCCUAGGGAAAGCCAUCAUACGGCGGUUAAGCAUAUUCUUAGAUACCUUGUUCACACCCCAAAGUUAGGCCUAUGGCACCCUAAGGAUGCAAAGUUCGAUCUCAUUGGGUACUCCGAUGCGGAUUGGGCUGGUGACAAAGUGGGACGGAAAUCCACUUCCGGUGCAUGUCAGUUUCUUGGAUGUUCCUUGGUAAGUUGGUCCUUGAAAAAGCAGAAUUGUGUUUCUCUCUCCACGGCCGAGGCCGAAUAUAUUGCAGCCGCAAGCUGUGCAACCCAACUGCUAUGGAUGAGGCAAACCCUAAAGGAUUAUGGCAUCACCUAUUGACACGUGCCUCUUCUCUGUGAUGAUGAAAGUGCCAUCAAGAUCUCCGAGAACCCCAUUGAUCACCCUCGCACAAAACACAUUAAUAUUAGGUAUCAUUUCUUGAGAGACCAUGUGCAAAAGGGUGACAUUGAUAUUGCUCAUGUGGUUACCGACAUGCAGCUCGCUGACAUCUUCACCAAGCCACUAUGCGUAGCAAGAUUCUGUCAACUUAGGCGUGAACUUGGUAUCUUGGAGCUUGAUAACUGUCACGCCCAAGAUGCGACCCUAUCCUCAAUUUGGCACGAAGGCCUCGUCAGGGAUAGAAGCGCAUCUCGUCAUGUCGCAAGAAUGGAUACCGUUACAAGUACAUGUACUGAAAAGAAGAGAGAUAUAUAUAGAAUUUGGCUUACACUCGCCACGAGCUACAUCAGAGUCACAGUAGUACAAAUACAUAAUCAUCAUGAAGAAGAGCAGGGUCUGACUACGGACGAAAACAAAAGAGAAAAGAAGAACGACGUCCAUCCUUGCUAUCCCAGGCUGCCGGCCUGGAAACCAUCCUAGACCGAUGAAGAAGAAGAAGANAGAAGAAGCAACUCCAAAUGAACAAUCAACGCGCUCGCAUCGAGUAACCUUUACCUGUACCUGCAAUUGGUGUUGUAGUAAUCUGUGAGCCACAGGGGACUCAGCAAUCUCAUUUCCAAAGGUACCAAGACUAGCAAAGCUUAAUGGGUGAGGCAUGGUUAAGUGGUCAGGUUGCAGCAGCGACUAAGCAUAUAUUUGGUGGCUAACUUACGAGUACAAUAAUAAAGAGGGGGAGAUCUAUGCAUAACGGACGUGACUACUCAUGAUCAAAUGAAUGAUCGUGAACACCUACCUACGUCAGGCAUAACCCCACCAUGUCCUCGAUCGGAGAAAGUACUCACGAAAGAGACAGUCACGGUUACGCACACAGUUGGCAUAUUUUAAUUAAGUUAACUUCAAGUUAUCUAGAACCAGUGUUAAACAAGUUUCCACGUUACCACAUAACCGCGGGCACGGCUUUCCGAAAAAUUUAACCCUGCAGGGGUGCUCCAACUAGUCCAUCACAAAUUACCACAAGCCGCAUAGAAAUCCUCGAUCACGACACUCGCNNNNNNNNNNNNNNNNNNNNNNNNNNNNNNNNNNNNNNNNNNNNNNNNNNNNNNNNNNNNNNNNNNNNNNNNNNNNNNNNNNNNNNNNNNNNNNNNNNNNGUAUCUCUGGGCCCACUCGGUAGAACAUCAUCAUGAGCUCAAUGUGACUAAGGAGUUAGUCACACGAUGACGUGCUACGGAACGAGUAAAGAGACUUACUGGUAACGAGAUUGAACAAGGUAUAGGUAUACCGACGAUCGAAUCUCGGGCAAGUUCUAUACCGACAGACAAAGGGAAUCGUAUACGGGAUUGAUUGAAUCCUUGACAUCGUGGUUCAUCCGAUGAGAUCAUCGUGGAGCAAGUGGGAGCCACCAUGGGUAUCCAGACCCCGCUGAUGGUUAUUGGCCAGAGAGGUGUCUCGCUCAUGUAUGCCUGUCUCCCGAACCCGUAGGGUCUACACACUUAAGGUUCGAUGACGCUAGGGUUAUAGGGAAUUGUUAUACGAGGUUACUGAAAGUUGUUCGGAGUCCCGGAUGAGAUCCCGGACGUCACGGGGAGCUCCGUAAUGAUCCGGAGGUAAAGAUUGAUAUAUAGGACGGAUGGUUUUGGACACCGGAAGUGUUUCGGGCGUCACCGGUAAUGUACCGGGACCACCGGAGGUGGCCCCGGGGACCACCGAAGGGGGGCAACGACCCCGGGAGGCUAGAUGGCCUAAGUGGGGAAGGGAACCAGCCCCUAGGUGGGCUGGUGCGCCCCCCACCCAGCCCAUGCGCAUCAGAGAAAGGGGGAAGGGGGAAACCCUAGGCGCAGUUGAGGCCCAAGGCCCACCUAGGGUGCGCCCCCCCUUUCCCUGCCCUGGCCGCCGCCCCCCUCCCAUCUGGUGGCUGCCGCACCACCUAGGUGGGGAACCCUAGGGGUGGCGCACCCCCUCCCCCUCCUCCUAUAAAUAUAGAGGGGUUUUGUCCAUUGGAGAACACACUUUGCCCUCUCUCUCGGCGCAGCCCUGCUCUUCUUCCNGCGCGGGAGACGUCACCGGGCUGCACGUGUGUUGAACGCGGAGGUGCCGUUGUUCGGCACUAGAUCGGAAUCGCUGCGAGUACGACUCCAUCAACCGUGUUCUAGCAACGCUUCCGCUUAGCGAUCUUCAAAGGUAUGAAGAUGCUCUUACCCCUCUUUCGUUGCUGGUCUCUCCAUAGGAAGAUCUGAAUAUGCGUAGGAAAAUUUUGAAUUUAUGCUACGUUACCCAACAGUGGCAUCCAACCAGGUUUUCUAUGCGUAGAUUCUAUGCACGAGUAGAACACAAAAGUUGUGGGCGAUGAUUUGUCAAUUUGCUUGCCGCUACUAGUCUUAUUCUUUUCCGGCGGUAUUGUGGUAUGAAGCGGCCCGGACCGACUUUACACGUACACUUACGUGAGACUGGUUCCACCGACAGACAUGCACAUCGUGCAUAAAGGUGGCUAGCGGGUGUCUCUCUCUCCUACUCUAGUCGGAUUGGAUUUGAUGAAAAGGGUCCUUAUGAAGGGUAAAUAGCUUUGGCAUAUAAUCGUUGUGGCUGUCACGUAGGUAAGAAGGCGUUCUUGCUAGAAACCCAAAUCAGCCACGUAAAACUUGCAACAACAAUUAGAGGACGUCUAACUUGUUUUUGCAGGGUUUGACAUGUGAUGUGAUAUGGCCAAAGUUGUGAUGUUGCAUGUAUAAUGUAUGAGAUGAUCAUGUUAUUGUAAUAGGUUUCACGACUUGCAUGUCGAUGAGUAUGACAACCGGCAGGAGCCAUAGGAGUUGUCUUAAUUUAUUGUAUGAGAUGCAACGCCAUGUGCUUACUACUUUUACUUCAUUGCUAACGGUUAGCUAUAGUAGUAGUGAUAGUAGUAGUUGGCGUGACGACUUCACGGAGACACGAUGAUGGAGAUCAUGAUGAUGGAGAUCAUGGUGUCACGCCGGUGACGAUGAUGAUCAUGCGAUGCCUGAAGAUGGAGAUCGAAAGAGCAAAGAUGAUAAUGGCCAUAUCAUGUCACUAUAUGAUUGCAUUGUGAUGUUUAUCAUGUUUUACAUCUUAUUGCUUAGAACGACGGUAGCAUAAUAAGAUGAUCCCUCUUGAAAUUUCGAGAACGUAUUCCCCUAAGUGUGCACCAUUGCGAAGGUUCGUUGUCUCGAAGCACCACGUGAUGAUCGGGUGUGAUAGAAUCUAAGGUUCGCAUACAACGGGUGUAAGCCAGAUUUACACAGGCGAAACACCUAGGUUGACUCGACGAGCUUAGCAUGUACAGACAUGACCUCGAAUACAAGAGACCGAAAGGUCGAACAUGAUUCGUAUGGUUGAAUACGAUCAGCAUGGAGUUGCUCACCAUGGUGACUAGUCCGUCUCACGUGAUGAUCGGACACGGGUUAGUCAACAUGGAUCAUGUAUCACUUAGAUGACUAGAGGGAUGUCGAUUUAAGUGGGAGUUCAUAUUUAAUUUGAUUAAAUGAACUUAAUUGUCAUGAACUUAGUCUAAAAGUUGUCUUUAUAAAUAUUGUAGAUGUCCAACGUCAACCUCAAUUUCAACGCAUUCCUAGAGAAAAACAAGCUGAAAGAUGAUGGUAGCAACUAUGCGGACUGGGUUNNNNNNNNNNNNNNNNNNNNNNNNNNNNNNNNNNNNNNNNNNNNNNNNNNNNNNNNNNNNNNNNNNNNNNNNNNNNNNNNNNNNNNNNNNNNNNNNNNNNCGAGACACCUCUCUGGCCAAUAACCAUCAGCGGGGUCUGGAUACCCAUGGUGGCUCCCACUUGCUCCACGAUGAUCUCAUCGGAUGAACCACGAUGUCAAGGAUUCAAUCAAUCCCGUAUACGAUUCCCUUUGUCUGUCGGUAUAGAACUUGCCCGAGAUUCGAUCGUCGGUAUACCUAUACCUUGUUCAAUCUCGUUACCAGUAAGUCUCUUUACUCGUUCCGUAGCACGUCAUCGUGUGACUAACUCCUUAGUCACAUUGAGCUCAUGAUGAUGUUCUACCGAGUGGGCCCAGAGAUACCUCUCCGUCACACGGAGUGACAAAUCCCGAUCUCGAUUCGUACCAACCCAAUAGAUACUUUCGGAGGUACCCGUAGUGCACCUUUAUAGUCACCCAGUUACGUUGUGACGUUUGAUACACUUAAAGCACUCCUACGGUAUCCGAGAGUUGCACAAUCUCAUGGUCGAAGGAAAAGAUACUUGACAUUAGAAAAUCAUUAGCAUACGAACAAUACGAUCUAGUGCUAGGCUUAGGAUUGGGUCUUGUCCAUCACAUCAUUCUCCCAAUGAUGUGAUCCCAUUAUCAAUGACAUCUAAUGCCCAUGAUCAGGAAACCAUGAUCAUCUAUUGAAUAACGAGCUAGCCAACUAGAGGCUUGCUAGGGACACAUUGUGAUCUAUUUAUUCACACAUGUAUUACUGUUUCCUGUUAAUACAAUUAUAGCAUGAACAAUAGACGAUUAUCAUGAACGAGGAAAUAUGAUAAUAACCAUUUUAUUAUUGCCUCUAGGGCAUAUUUCCAACACCUAUUGCAUAUGGUGGGUGGGUCUAUGCAGUCUCUUCGUCAGUUGUCCCCUCCACCACUCCUUUCUUCUUCCUCAUCUCUCCGCCGCCAUAACUCAUUUUCUUCUCCAUCAUCUCCGACGUUCCCUCUCUUUCCUGCUGCAGCACCUUUGGCAUACGCACUUGGCAAGUGUGCCGCGACGAGACCCCUCUCCAGCAGACGCCCAGCUCUAGGAACUCGAACUGCGUGUUGUAGGUGCUGCAAGCAUAGGUUGCCGAGUUGGAACGCUAGCCACCCCGUGUCGCGAACUGGUUACACCGGUGAGCUGAAAAUGGCGCACGCGACCUGCCGUGCUACAACCAUUGAUACAAUAUGUUGGAACCCGCCGACAGAGGAGCUGCAACCGGCCAAGCCAAGAGCUGGAACCGACGCAUGUUGUGCUGGGCAUCGCCACACGUGCCAUGUUAGAACCAUGUUCUGGCGAUGCUAGAACCGUGUUCCAGAGAUGUUGGAACCAUGUUCUAGCAAUGUUGGAACCGUGUUUUAGCAAUGCUGGAAUGGGGGUCGGUGAUGCUUAAAAGCUUUAGGACAGCGGGCAAAAUGCUGGAACCAUUACCGACAAAAGUUGCAAUAGUCGUCAGAUUUUGCUACCACCGGCAAAGGAUUCUGCUACAUGCUUCAUGGCAGAGCUGCAACCCUGCGACGGCGAUGACUUUUUUUCCACAGUCGUAGUUAUUUUUCGCUACCACUGGUGAUGUAUUUUGCCACAUCCAUUAAAUGUCGUUUAGUAUUGGCCGUCCAUAAUCCCGUGCAACUAGUGCCGACGCCGAGUGCGACCGCGGUUGUGCAUCGUGGUGUUGCAUAAUGAUGCAUCAACGGCUGGAGUUGCAGCCAGUUAGGGCGGAGUUGCAAGCGAAAUUGAUGAGCGGGGAAGUUCUUCGACAAGCAGCGGAGGGCUGCGAGUCGUCGGAGUGUGAGCGCCGACGACCGACGUCUGUUUGCCCUCGCGGAGCUGCACACGGAGGCGUAGGAGCGUGGGGUAGGGUGUGGGGAUUUUUUUCUUUGAUAUGCGAUGGGAGAUAGAGGACGAGUCAAGGAUGAAGGAGAGAGCUAGAUCGGAUGACUGAUCUAUGCCAGAUCGAACGGUUGGGGUUCGAGUGGCCGAAACUUUCAGCUAGUACUGCCCUUUCUCUAUCUAUUCUAACACACCAUGAAGCUUGGUGGAGAGUUCAUCCACUACCUCUAUAAAAGCACGAAGAGGCAGAUCCAACUCACCAUCUCACCUGCCUGAUUACGUCAUCAAUCGUCAAGAAUUAUCAUUAAAAAAUUCAUCCCAGCUAACGAAACCAAUUGAAGCCAAUCCCAUCGGCGAGGAAACCCACCCACACUUCCACGCCCGGGAACCGCUCACAAAAUCACCUCGCUUGAGAACUCAUCCAGGCCUAGCUCNNNNNNNNNNNNNNNNNNNNNNNNNNNNNNNNNNNNNNNNNNNNNNNNNNNNNNNNNNAGCCGCCGUCGCUGCCUCGCGCAACAACCACAACCAUUGCCCUCGCCUCACAUAGCGACGCGUCGCCCGUCGCUCGGCCAACCCGGACAAGCAGGACAAGGGCGCAGGGCAAGGAAAGGACAUGGGCGAUCGCAAUGAACCCUCCUUUCAUGGUAUUUAUCAUUUUUAUGCGAUGAACGCAACCUGUAGGUGCCUCCGUUCAUGAUUUGCAUAUCCAGAAUUUGUUGUCUGGCCAUCUAAGAGAAUUAGCUCACUACGCUAAGGAAUUAGGACAAUUCAGUUACAUGAUCUGACUGUUUAUAGAGGGAUCUAAAAGACUGAUGAUAUGCAAAUAUGAUCUCAAGUCUCAAAGUGCAUGUUGUUCUAUGUUCUUGGGCAUGUACAAAGGCUUAGAUAAACACCACCAAGGUUGAGGACGAAAAAGAUUGCACACACUAACCAUUAUUAUCUUCUUGUGAUAAUUUUAGGCUUGUACGAGGAAACUUGAAGAGGCAAUUUUAGUUGGUGGUGUGCUUUAAUAUUUCAUAUUGUUGUUCGUGUGUUCCUGUUGGAAAUAUGCCCUAGAGGCAAUAAUAAAGUGGUUAUUAUUAUAUUUCCUUGUUCAUGAUAAUUUUCUAUUGUUCAUGCUACAAUUGUAUUAACUGGAAACAGUAAUACAUGUGUGAAUAUAUAGACCACACCAAGUCCCUAGUGAGCCUCUAGUUGACUAGCUCGUUGAUCAAAGAUGGUUAAUGUUUCCUAACCAUAGACAAGUGUUCUCACUUGAGUUCUAGAAUGGUCUGGAAACGAAGAUUGAUAUAUAGGAAGUUGGUAGUUCGUAGUAUCAUUUCCCUAGACCAUGAGAUUGUGCAACUCCCGGAUACCGUAGGAGUGCUUUGGGUGUAUCAAGAAUCACAACGUAACUGGGUGAUUAUAAUGGUGCACUACAGGUAUCUCUGGAAGUGUAUGUUGGGUGGGCACGAAUCGAGAUUGGGAUUUGUCACUCCGUAUGAAGGAGAGGUAUCUCUGGGCCCACUGAGUAAUACAUCAUCCUAUUGAGCUCAGUGUGACUAAGGAGUUAGUCACAGGAUCAUGUGUUACGGAACGAGUAAAAAAACUUGCCUCUAACGAUAUUGAACAAGGUAUGGGGAUACCGACGAUCGGAUUUCGGGCAAGUUAUAUACCGAUAGACAAAGGGAAUUGCAUACGGGAUUGAUUGAAUCCCCGACAUCGUGGUUCAUCCGAUGAGAUCAUCGUGGAACAUGUGGGAGCCAACAUGGAUAUCCAGAUCCCGCUAUUGGUUAUUGACCGGGGAGGUGUCUCGGUCAUGUCUGCAUGGUUCCCGAACUCGUAGGGUCUACACACUUAAGGUUCGAUGACGCUAGAGUUGUAAUGAGAAUAAUAUGUGGUUAUCAAAAGUUGUUCGGAGCCCCGGAUGAGAUCCCAGACGUCCCGAGGAGCUCCGGAAUGGUCAGUAGGUAAAGAUUCAUAUAUAGGAAGUGGAGAUUAGAUCACAGGAAAUGUUUCGAGGAUCAUCGGUAUUGUACCGGGACUACCGGAAGGGUUACGGGGGUUCACCAGCCCCGGAGAGCCACGUGGGCCAAAAGUGGAAGGAAACCAACCCCUAGAUGGGCUGGUGCGUCACCCACCAAGGCCCAAGGAACCUAGGGCUAGCAACCCUAGGGCGUGGAGGUGGCCCACCUCCAACUUGGGAGGCAAGCCACCUCCCACCUGGCCACCGCCCCCUGCUUGGACCGCCGCCCCUCCUAGGGUUACCUAGGGUGGCCGGCCUGCCUUUCCCCUCCCCUAUAUAUACCCAAGGGUUUUGGGGCUGCAACACACAACUUUUCUCUCCCUCUUGGUGCAACCCUACCCUCUCUCUUUCUCCUCCUCCGCGGUGCUUGGCGAAGCCGUGCCGGAGAACCACAUAGCUACACCGCCACCACGCCGACGUGCUGUCGAAGCUCUCCAUCAACUUCCCCUCUCCCCUUGCUGGUUCAAGGUAGAGGAGACAUCAUCGGUUUGCACGUGUGUUGAACGCGGAGGCGUCGUUGUUCGGCGCUUUGGAUCACAUCUACCGCGAUUUGAAUCGCUAUGAGUACGACUCCAUCACCCGCAUUCCUAGUAACGCUUCCGCUUAGCAAUCUUCAAAGGUAUGAAGAUGCUCUACCCCUUGCUCGUUGCUAGCAUCUCCUAGAUUGAUCUUGCUGUUUCGUUGCUAGCAUCUCCUAGAUUGAUCUUGCCGCGCCCGAAGAUGGAGAUCAAAGGCGCAAGAUGAUAAUGGCCAUAUCAUGUCACUAUAUGAUUUGCAUGUGAUGUUUAUCAUGUUGUUCAUCUUAUUGCUUAGAAUGACGGUAGCAAAGAUAAGAUGAUCCCUCGUUAAAUUUCAAGAUAAGUAUUCCCCUAAGUGUGCACCGUUGUGAAGGAUCGUUGUCUUGAAGCACCAUGUGAUGGUCGGGUGUGAUAGAUUCUAACGUUCGCAUACAAUGGGUGUAAGCCAGAUUUACACACACAAAACACUUAGGUUGACUUGACGAGCCUAGCAUGUACAGGAAUGGCCUCAGAAUACGAGAGACCAAAAGGUCGAACAUGAGUCGUAUGGAUGAUACGAUCAACAUGGAGAUGUUCACCAUUGAUGACUAGUCUGUCUCACGUGAUGAUCGGACACGGGCUAGUCGACAUGGAUCAUGUAUCACUUAGAUGACUAGAGGGAUGUCAAUCUAAGUGCGAGUUCAUUAAAUAAUUUGAUUAGAUGAACUUAAUUAUCAUGAACUUAGUCUAACAAUGUCUUUACAGUAUUGUAGAUCCAAUGGCCAAUGCUCCUGUCAACCUCAAUUUCAACACGUUCCUAGAGAAAACCAAGCUGAAAGACGAUGGUAGAAACUAUGUGGACUGAGCUCGUAACUUAAAGCUCAUCCUCAUUGCUUCCAAGAAGGCAUAUGUCCUUGAUGCGUCGCUAGGUGACCCUCCCGUUCCCACGGCAGCCCAGGACGUUCAUAACGCGUGGCAGUCACGAAGUGAUGACUACUCUCUGGUUCAUUGUGGCAUGCUAUACAGUUUAGAACCGGGGCUCAAAAAACGUUUUGAGCAACCUGGAGCAUAUGACAUGUUCGAGGAGCUGAAAUUGGUUUUCCAAGAUCAUGCCCAGAUCAAGAGAUAUGAGGUCUCCGACUAGUUCCUCAGCUGUAAGAUGGAGGAAAAUAGUUCUGUCAGUGAGCACAUACCCAGAAUGUGUGGGUUGCACAACCGUCUGUCUCAGCUGGAAGUUAAUCUUCCGGAUGACGCGGUUAUUGACAGAAUCCUCCAGUCGCUUCCACAUAGCUACAAGAGGUUCGUGAUGAAUUAUAACAUGCAAGGGAUGGAAAAGAACAUUCCCGAGUUAUAUUCAAUGCUGAGAUCAGCGGAGGUGGAAAUCAAGAAGGAACAUCAAGUGUUGAUGGUGAAUAAGACCACUAGUUUAAUAAAAGGCAAGGGUAAAAAGAACUUCAAGAAGGACGGCAAAGAAGUUGCCACGCCCGGUAAAAAGGUUUCCUGGAAGAAGCGCAAGAAUGUCGCAAGCCUGAGACUGAGUGUUGUCAUUGCAAGGGAGCCAGUCACUGGAAGCGAAACUACCCCAAAUACUUAGCGGAUAAGAAGGCCGGAAAUGUCAAAGGUAUAUAUGAUGUACAUGUUAUUGAUGUGUACCUUACCAGCACUCGUAGUAGCUCCUAGGUAUUUGAUACCGGUGUUGUUGCUCACAUUUGCAACUGAAAAACAGGAACUGCAGAAUAAGCAGAGACUGGCAAAGGGCAAUGUGACGAUGCUCGUGGGAAUGGUUCCAAGGUCGAUGUGAUCGUCGUCGGCACGCUACCUCUACAUCUACCUUCGGGAUUAGUUUUAAACCUUAAUAAUUGUUAUUUAGUACUAGCUUUGAGCAUGAACAUUGUAUCUGAAUCUCGUUUGAUGCGAGAUGGCUACUCAUUUAAAUCUUAGAAUAAUGGUUGUUCUAUUUAUAUGAGUGAUAUGUUUUAUGGUCAUGUCCAUCUGGUCAAAGUUUAUUCUUAAUGAAUCUCGAACGUGAUGUUAUGCAUAUUCAUAGUGUGAGUACUAAAAGAUGCAAAAUUAAUAAUGAUAGUCCCACAUACUUGUGGCAUUGCCUCCCUGGUCAUAUCGGCGUCAAACGCAUGAAGAAACUCCAUGCUGACGGACUUUUGGAGUCUCUUGAUAAUGAAUCAUUUGACACGUGCAAGCUGUGCCUCAUGGGUAAGAUGACUAAGACUCUGUUCUCCGGAACAAUGGAGCGAGCAACCAACUUGUUGGAAAUAAUACAUAGCGAUGUAUGCGAUCCAAUGAGCGUUGAGGCUUGCGGUGGCUACCGUUAUGUUCUCACCCUCACUAAUGACUUAAGCAGAUAUGGGUAUGUCUACGUAAUGAAACACAAGUCUGAAACCUUUGAAAGGUUCAAGGAAUUUCAGAGUGAGGUUGAAAAUCAACGUGACAAGAAAAUAAAGUGCCUACGAUCUGAUCAUGGAGGAGAAUAUUUGAGUCACGAGUUUGGCACACACUUAAGAAAAUGUGGAAUUGUUUCACAACUCAUGCUGCCUGGCACACCUCAGUGUAAUGGUGUGUCUGAGCGUCGUAAUCGCACUCUAUUGGAUAUGGUGUAAUCUAUGAUGUCUAUUACUGAUUUAUCGCUAUCAUUUUGGGGAUACGCAUUGGAAACUUCCGCAUUCACUUUAAAUAGGGCACCGUCUAAAUCCGUUGAGAUGACACUGUAUGAAUUAUGCUUUGGGAAGAAACCUAAGCUGUCGUUUCUGAAAGUUUGGGGCUAUGAUGCUUAUGUGAAGAAACUUCAACGUGAGAAGCUCAAACCCAAAGCGAAAAAUGCGUCUUCAUAGGAUACCCUAAGGAAACUAUUGCGUAUACCUUCUAUCUUAGAUUCGAAGGAAAAUCUUUGUUGCCAAGAACGGAUCCUUUCUAGAGAAAGAGUUUCUCUCAAAAGAAGUAAGUGGGAGGAAAAUAGAACUUGAUGAGGUAACUGAAAUCCCUCUUGAACUAGAAAGUAGCGCAGCGUGGGAAAUUGUUCCCGUGGUGCCUGCACCGACUAGAGAGGAAGUUAAUGACGAUGAUCAUGAAACUUCGGAUCAAGUUACUACUGAACCUCUAAGGUCCACAAGGAUAUGUUCCGCACCAGAGUGGUUCGACAACCCAGUCCUAGAAAUAAUGUUGUUAGACAACGGUGAACCUUCGAACUAUGAAGAAGCAAUGGUCGGCCCGGAUUCCAACAAAUGGCUUGAAGCCAUGAAAUUCGAGAUAGGAUCCAUGUAUGAGAACAAAGUAUGGACUUUUGUGGACUUGCCCAAUGAUCAGCAAUCCACAGAAAAUAAAUGGGUCUUUAAGAAGAAUACUGACGCAGAUGGUAAUGUGACCGUCUAUAAGGCUGAGCUUGUCGCUAAGGGUUACCGACAAGUUCAAGGAGUUGACUACGAUGAGACUUUCUCACCCAUAGCGAUGUUGAAGUUCGUCCGAAUCAUGUUAGCAAUUGCCGCAUUUUAUGAUUAUGAGAUCUAGCAAAUGGACGUCAAAACGACAUUCCUUAACAGUUUCCUUAAGGAAGAAUUGUAUAUGAUGCAUCCAGAAGGUUUUGUCGAUCCUAAGAGUGCUGACAAGGUAUGCGAGCUCCAACGCUCCAUCUAUGGGCUGGUGCAAGCAUCUCAAAGUUGGAACAUUCACUUUAAUGAGGUGAUUAAAUCGUUCGGGUUUAUGCAGACUUAUUGAAAAGCCUGCAUUUACAAGAAAGUGAGUGGGAGCUCUGUAGCAUUCCUCAUUUUAUAUGUGGACGACAUAUUGCCGAUGGAAAAUGAUAUAGAACUUUUGGAAAGCGUAAAAGCCUACUUGAAUAAGUAUUUUUCAAUGAAGGACCUUGGGGAAGCUGCUUACAUAUUAGGCAUCAAGAUCUAUAUAGAUAGAUCGAGAUGCCUCAUAGGUCUUUCACAAAACACAUACCUUGACAAGAUAUUGAAGAAGUUCAAUAUGGAUAAGUCUAAGAAGGUGUUAUUGCAUGUAUAGCAAGGUAUGAGAUUGAGUAAGACUCAAUGCCCGACCAAAGCACAAGAUAGAGAAAAGAUGAGUAACAUCCCCUAUGCUUCAGUCGUAGGCUCUAUUAUGUAUGCCAUAGUGUGUACCAGACCUGAUGUGAACCUUGCCAUGAGUUUGGUAGGGAGGUACCAAAGUGAUCCUGGUAUGGAACGCUGGACAACGGUCAAUAAUAUCCUAAAGUACCUGAAAAGGACUAAAGAUAUGUUUCUCGUUUAUGGAGGUGCCGAAGAGCUCGUCGUAAAGGGUUACGCCGAUGAUAGCUUCGACAGAGAUCCGGAUGACUCCAAGUCACAAAUCGGAUACGUGUAUGUUUUGAAUGGUGGGGUAGUCAGCUGGUGCACUUUUAAGCAAGGCGUCGUGGCGGCAUCUACAUGUGAAGCAGAGUACAUAGCUGCUGCAGAAGCAGCGCAUGAAGGGAUCUGGAUGAAGGACUUCAUCACUGACCUAGGAGUAAUUCCCAGUGCGUCGGGCCCGAUGACUCUCUUGUGUGAUAACACUGGAGCUAUUGUCAUAGCCAAGGAGCCCAAGCACAUCAAGCGCUGCUUCAACUCCAUCCGUGAUUACAUUCAGGAAGGAGAUAUAGAUAUUUGUAAAGUACAUGCAGAUCUGAAUGUUGUAGAUCUUUUGAGUAAACCUCUUCCGCGAGCGAAACAUGAUCAACACCAGAACUCUACGGGUGUUCGUUUCAUCACAAUGUAACUAGAUUAUUGACUCCAGUGCAAGUGGGGGACUGUUGGAAAUAUGCCCUAGAGGCAAUAAUAAAGUGGUUAUUAUUAUAUUUCCUUGUUCAUAAUAAUUGUCUAUUGUUCAUGCUACAAUUGUAUUAAGAGGAAACAGUAAUACAUGUGUGAAUAUAUAGACCACACCAAGUCCCUAGUGAGCCUCUAGUUGACUAGAUGGUGGAUCAAUAGAUGGUCAUGGUUUCCUGCUCAUGGACAUUGGAUGUCAUUGAUAAUGGGAUCACAUCAUUAGGAGAAUGAUGUGAUGGACAAGACACAAUCCUAAGCAUAGCACAAGAUCGUGUAGUUUGUCUCCUAAAGCUUUUCUAAUGUCAAUUAUCAUUUCCUUAGACCAUGAGAUUGUGCAACUCCCAGAUACCGUAGGAGUGCUUUGGGUGUAUCAAAAGUCACAACGUAACUGGGUGAUUAUAAAGGUGCACUACAGGUAUCUCCGAAAGUGUCUGUUGGGUGGGCACGAAUCGAGACUGGGAUUUGUGACUCCGUAUGACGGAGAGGUAUCUCUGGGAUCACUCGGUAAUACACCAUCCUGUUGAGCUCAAUGUGACUAAGGAGUUAGUCACACGAUCAUGUGUUACAGAACGAGUAAAAGACUUGCGAGUAACGAUAUUGAACAAGGUAUGAGGAUACCGACGAUAGGGUCUCGGGCAAGUUAUAUACCGAUAGACAAAGGGAAUUGCAUACGGGAUUGAUUGAAUCCCCGACAUCGUGGUUCAUCCGAUGAGAUCAUCGUGGAACAUGUGGGAGACAAUAUGGAUAUCCAGAUCCCCCUGUUGGUUAUUAACCGGAGAGGUGUCUCGGUCAUGUCUGCAUGGUUCCCGAACCCGUAGGGUCUACACACUUAAGGUUCGAUGACGCUAGAAUUGUAAUGAGAAUAGUAUGUGGUUACCGAAAGUUGUUCAGAGUCCCGGGUGAGAUCCCGGAUGUCACGAGGAGCUCCGGAAUGGUCCGGAGGUAAAGAUUCAUAUAUAGGAAGUGGAUAUUAGAUCACCGGAAAUGUUUCAAGGAUCAUCUGUAUUGUACUGGGACCACCAUAAGGGUUUCGAGGGUCCACCGGGAGGGGCCACCAGCCCCGGAGAGCCACGUAGGCCAAAAGUGGAAGGGAACCAGCCGCUAGAUGGGUUGGUGCGCCACCCACCAAGGCCCAAGGCGCCUAGGGCUGGUUACCCUAGGGCGUGGAGGUGGCCCACCUCCAACUUGGGAGGCAAGCCACCUCCCACCUGGCAACCGUCCCCUGCUUGGGCCACCGCCCCUCCCAUAUGGGUGGCCGCCGCCCCUCCUAGGGUUUCCUAGGGUGGCCGGCCUGCCCUUCCCCUCCUCCUAUAUAUAUCCAAUGGUUUUGGGGCUGCAACAUGCAAGUUUUCACUCCCUCUCGGCGCAGCCCUACCCUCUCUCUCCAUCCUCCUCCGCGGUGCUUGGCGAAGCCCUGUCGGAGAACCACAUAGCUCCACCGCCACCACACCGUCGUGCUGCCGGAGCUCUCCACCAACUUCCCCUCUCCGCUUUCUGGUUCAAGGUAGACGAGACGUCACCGGGAUGCACGUGUGUUGAACAUGGAGGCACCGUUUGUCGGCCCUUUGGAUCACAUCUACUGCGAUCUGAAUCGCUACGAGUACGACUCCAUCACCCGCGUUCAUAGUAACGCUUCCGCUUAGCAAUCUUCAAAAGUAUGAAGAUCAUCUACCCCUUGCUCGUUGCUAGCAUUUCCUAGAUUGAUCUUGGUGUUUCGUAGGAAUUUUUUUGAAUUUCUCCCUCGAGCCCCAACAGUUCCUCCAUCAUCGUGUCUUCUUCUAUUAGUUUGAAUUUUCUAGCGCAUGAACUACCAAGUGAAUUUUCCUAGCUCCGAUGGUUGCGCCACUGAGGAUGCUAUCAGCGAAAAUAAAGGCAAUUUGUACUGGGACGUCUUGGCCGAGCUGCAGGACCUCCGCCUCGACGAGCUGUAGAAUCUCCACCUCGCUCUGGUUUUUGUGGUACGGGCCCUUCCCCACUCCAUCAAAUAGUGACUUAUAUUUUGUUCUGCUUUGUUCUUAGACAAGUGUGGUAAAUUGUAUGGUAAAGUGUGGCAUCUACUACCCCUAUAAAGCACGAAGAGACAGAUCCAAAUCCUCAACUCAGCCAUUUGAUUACAUCAUCAAUGAUCAAAAAUCAUUGUUAACGAAAUUCAUCCCAUCGCUAACGAAGAUAAUCCCAUCGCUGAGGAAACCCACCCCCACUUCAAUGCUCAAGAACCGCUCGCAAACUCAGCCACGCCGCCCGACCUCCCCACCCCCGAUGGUCGCUCGCCUCGUCCAGCCACCGGCCCCGCUCGGCCCACUUGCCCCCACUCGUCGCUCGCCUCGCGCCGUCGCCCUUGUCUCACACAGCCUCGUGCAGUCGCCGCCCCCGCCUCGUGCAGCCACCGCCACCACCUUGCGCAGCCUCACGCCGUCCUCUCUGCUCACCCGGACAAGCGGGACAAGGGCACCGUUCAAGGAGAGGACAGGGGCGAUCGCGGUGAACCCUCCGUUCAUGGUACUGUAACGUCCAAGAUGUGGCACUAUCCAUAUUUGGGGAUUAGGUCUUAAUAUGGAUAGAGGCACAUCUUAGCGUUUCGCAAGUACAUAAAUCACCGCAAUACAUUUAUGAAGAGAAGAGUAUAUUGAUUAGCUUACACUCGCCACAAGUUAAGUUACAAGCCACACAACAUUAGUUCAAUCAUCCUAAGACCGGGUCCGGCUACAGACAAGAUAAAUGAUAAAAUGCAAUGACUCUGCCUCGUUAGUCUAGGAAACGAGCAAGGUCCUCUAAUCAUCGGGGUACAUUACGUACAAGCGCCCACUGCCUUCAUCGAAAUCCCAUUGAAGAUCGAUAACCCACAAGUAUAGGGGAUCGCAACAGUUUUCGAGGGUAGAGUAUUCAACCCAAAUUUAUUGAUUCAACUCAAGGGGAAGCGAAAGAAUAUUCUCAAGUAUUAGCAGUUGAGCUGUCAAUUCAACGACACCUAAAAGAUUUAGUAUCAGUAGCAAAGUAGGGUGAUAGCAGCAGUAGCAACAGUAACCAGUAGCAGCAAAGUAACAACAGUAGGAACAGAGUAACAACAGCAGCAGUCACAGCAGUAGCGGCAAAGUAACGUAGCAAGGACCAGUAGAAAAAGACUCGUAGGCAUUGGAUCAGUGAUGGAUGAUUAUGCCGGAUGUGAUUGAUCAUGCAACAGUUAUAACACGGAGAGAUAAGUAAAUAGCUCCAGUUCGUCAAUCUAAUGUAGGCAUGUAUUCCGCAUGUAGUCAUACGUGCUUAGGGAAAAUAACUUGCAUGACAUCUAUUGUCCAUCCCUCCCAUGGCAGCGGGGUCCUAAUGGAAACUACAGGAUAUUAAGGUUCUCCUUUGAAUAAAGAACCGGACCAAUGCAUUAACACUUGGUGAAUACAUGAACUCCUCAUACUAUGGUCAUCUCCGGGAGUGGUUCCGGCUAUUGUCACUCCGGGGUUGCAGGGUCAUAACACAUAGUAGGUGACUACAACUUGCAAGAUAGGAUCUAAAACACACAUAUAUUGGCGACAACAUAAUAGGUUCAGAUCUGAAAUCAUGGCACUCGAGCCCUAGUGACAAGCAUUAAGCAUGGCAAAGUAGUAGCAACAUCAAUCUCAGAACAUAGUGGAUACUAGGGAUCAAUUCCCGUCAAAACUAACUCGAUUACAUGAUAGAUCUCAUCCAACCCAUCACCGUCUAGAAAGCCUACGAAUAGAUUACUCACGAACGGUGAAGAGCAUCAUGGAAUUGGCGAUGAAGGAAGGUUGGUGAUGACGAUGGCGUCAAAGUUUGUUUUCUUGUGCUAAUGAUAUCACGAGUUUCUGUUUAAGUUUUGUGUUGUGAAGUUUUCAAGUUUUGGGUGAUGAUCUCAUGGACAAAGGGAUAAAGAGUGGAAAGAGCUCAAGCUUGGGGAUGCCCAAGGCAUCCCAAGCCAAAUUCAAGGACACCAAAAAGCCUAAGCUGGGGGAUGCCCCGGGAAGACAUCCCCUCUUUCGUCUCCAAUCCAUCGGUAAUAUUACUUGGAGCUAUAUUUUUAUUCACCACAUGAUAUGUGUUUUGCUUGGAGCGUCUUGUAUCAUAGGAGUCCUUUAUUUUUGUUGUGUCACAAUCAUCCUUGCUGCACACCUUUUGAGAGAGACAUGCACUCAUCGUGAAUUUUCUAGAAUACUCAUUGAGCUUCGCUUAUAUCUUUUGAGUUAGGCAAUUUAGCUCAUUGUGCUUCACUUAUAUCUUUUGAUCUAGAUAACUUUUCUCUUUGUGCUUCACUUAGAUCUUUUAGAGCACGGCGGUGUCAUAUUUUGGAGAAAUAAGAACUCUCGAUCUUCACUUAUAUCUUUUUGAGAGUGCUCUCUCUGAGUAACUUGGUAGUUGGCUUGUGUUAUGAAAGUAGUCCGAAAGAUGAUAGGCGCCCAAAGAGGAUACAAUAAAACUUCCAUAUUCAUGUGCAUUGAUUAGAAAGAGAAGUUUGAUUCCUCUCAAAUAGUUUUGAGACAUGGAUUUGGUAAUAUUAAGAGUUAUGCUAGUAGGGUGUUGUGAAUCUAGAAAUACUUGUGUUGAAGUUAGUGAUUCCCGUAACAUGCACGUAUGGUGGACCGCUAUGUUAGGAAGUCGGAGCAUAUUUGAUUUAUUGAUUGUCAUCCUUUGUGUUGCGGUCGGGAUUGCGCGAUGGUUAACACCUACCAACCCUUCCCCUAGGAGUAUGCGUUUAGCACUUUGUUUCGAUUACUAAUAAAAACUUUCGCAAUAAGUAUGUGAGUUCUUCAUGACUAAUGUGAGUCCAUGGUAUAGAUACACUUUCACCUUCCACCAUUGCUAGCCUCUCUAGUGCCGUGCAACUUUCGUCGGUACACAAAACCACAAUAUGCCUUCCUCAAAACAACCACCAUACCUACCUACUAUGGCAUUUUCAUAGCCAUUCCGAGAUAUAUUGCCAUGCAACUCCCACCGUUCGGUCUCAUGACUUGUGUCGUNNNNNNNNNNNNNNNNNNNNNNNNNNNNNNNNNNNNNNNNNNNNNNNNNNNNNNNNNNNNNNNNNNNNNNNNNNNNNNNNNNNNNNNNNNNNNNNNNNNNGUGAUCUCAUCCGGGACUCCGAACAACAUUCGGUAACCAACCAUAUAACUCAAAUACGCAUAAAACAACGUCGAACCUUAAGUGUGCAGACCCUGCGGGUUCGAGAACUAUGUAGACAUGACCCGAGUGACUCCUCGGUCAAUAUCCAAUAGCGGGACCUGGAUGCCCAUAUUGGAUCCUACAUAUUCUACGAAGAUCUUAUCGUUUGAACUUCAGUGCCAAGGAUUCAUAUAAUCCCGUAUGUCAUUCCCUUUGUCCUUCGGUAUGUUACUUGCCCGAGAUUCGAUCGUCAGUAUCCGCAUACCUAUUUCAAUCUCGUUUANCCGGCAAGUCUCUUUACUCAUUCCGUAAUACAAGAUCCCGCAACUUACACUAAGUCACAUUGCUUGCAAGGCUUGUGUGUGAUGUUGUAUUACCGAGUGGGCCCCGAGAUGCCUCUCCGUCACACGGAGUGACAAAUUCCAGUCUCGAUCCAUACUAACUCAACGAACACCUUCGAAGAUACCUGUAGAGCAUCUUUAUAGUCACCCAGUUACGUUGCGACGUUUGAUACACACAAAGCAUUCCUCNNNNNNNNNNNNNNNNNNNNNNNNNNNNNNNNNNNNNNNNNNNNNNNNNNNNNNNNNNNNNNNNNNNNNNNNNNNNNNNNNNNNNNNNNNNNNNNNNNNNACGGUGCCCUAUUUAAAGUGAAUGCUGCAGUUUCUAAUGCGUAUCCCCAAAAUGAUAGCGGUAAGUCGGUAAGAGACAUCAUAGAUCGUACCAUAUCUAAUAAAGUGCGAUUAUGACAUUCACACACCCCAUUACGUUGCGGUGUGCCAAGCGGCGUCAGUUGUGAAACGAUUCCACACUUCCUUAGGUGUGUGCCAAACUCGUGACUCAAAUAUUCUCCUCCACAAUCAGAUCGUAGACAUUUAAUUUUUUCUGUCACGUUGAUUCUCAACCUCACUCUGAAAUUCCUUGAACUUUUCAAACGUCUCAGAUUUGUGCUUCAUCAAGUAGAUAUACCCAUACCUACUCAAAUCAUCGGUGAGAGUGAGAACAUAACGAUAACCACCGCGAGCUUCAACGUUCAUUGGACCACACACAUCAGUAUGUAUUAUUUCCAAUAAGUCGGUUGCUCUCUCCAUUAUUCCUGAGAAUGGAGUCUUAGUCAUCUUGCCCAUGAGGCACAGUUCGCAUGUGUAAAAUGAUUCAAAGUCAAGAGACUCUAAUAGUCCAUCAAUAUGGAGCUUCUUCAUGCGCUUAACGCCGAUAUGACCAAGGCGGCAGUGCCACAAGUAUGUGGGACUGUCAUUAUCAACUUUACAUCUUUUGGUACUCACACUAUGAAUAUGUGUAACAUCACGAUCGAGAUUCAUCAAGAAUAAACCAUUCANNNNNNNNNNNNNNNNNNNNNNNNNNNNNNNNNNNNNNNNNNNNNNNNNNNNNNNNNNNNNNNNNNNNNNNNNNNNNNNNNNNNNNNNNNNNNNNNNNNNAGGUUGACUCGACGAGCUUAGCAUGUACAGACAUGACCUCGAAUACAAGAGACCGAAAGGUCGAACAUGAGUCGUAUGGUUGAAUACGAUCAGCAUGAAGUUGCUCACCAUGGUGACUAGUCCGUCUCACGUGAUGAUCGGACACGGGUUAGUCAACAUGGAUCAUGUAUCACUUAGAUGACUAGAGGGAUGUCGAUUUAAGUGGGAGUUCAUACUUAAUUUGAUUAAAUGAAAUUAAUUGUCAUGAACUUAGUCUAAAAGUUGUCUUUAUAAAUAUUGUAGAUGUCCAACGUCAACCUCAAUUUCAACGCAUUCCUAGAGAAAAACAAGCUGAAAGAUGAUGGUAGCAACUAUGCGGACUGGGUUUGCAACUUGAAGCUCAUCCUCGAAGCAGCUAAAAAGGCUUAUGUCCUUAAUGCGCCGCUAGGUGACCCUCCCGCUCCCGCAGCAGCCCAGGACAUUCUGAACGUCUGGCAAACGCGGAGUGAUGACUACUCUCUGGUCAGGUGUGGCAUGUUAUACAGUUUAGAAACGGGGCUCCAAAGGCGUUUUGAGCAACAUGGGGCAUAUGAGAUGUUCCAGGAGCUACAGCUAGUUUUUCAAGCUCAUGCCCGUGUCGAGAGAUAUGAAGUCUCCGACAAGUUCUUCAGCUGUAAGAUGGAGGAGAACAGUUCUGUCAGUGAGCACAUACUCAAAAUGUCUGGGUUACACGGUCGUCUGACUUCACUUGGAGUCGAACUUCCGGAUGAUGCUAUUAUUGACAGAAUCCUCCAGUCUCUCCCACCAAGCUACAAAGGCUUUGUGCUUAACUACAAUAUGCAAGGGAUGGAGAAGACCAUUCCCGAGUUGUACUCGCUGCUCAACUCUGCAGAAGUAGAAAUCAAGAAAGAGCAUCAAGUCUUGAUGGUCAACAAGACCACUAGUUUCAAGAAAGGCAAGGGUAAGAAGAACUUCAAGAAAGACGGCCAAGCUGUUGCCGCGCCCGGUAAGCCAGAUGCCGGGAAGAAGAAAAAGAACGGACCCAAGCCUGAGACUGAGUGCUUCUAUUGCAAGGGAAAGGGUCACUNNNNNNNNNNNNNNNNNNNNNNNNNNNNNNNNNNNNNNNNNNNNNNNNNNNNNNNNNNNNNNNNNNNNNNNNNNNNNNNNNNNNNNNNNNNNNNNNNNNNUCUCUCCUACUCUAGUCGGAUUGGAUUUGAUGAAAAGGGUCCUUAUGAAGGGUAAAUAGCUUUGGCAUAUAAUCGUUGUGGCUGUCACGUAGGUAAGAAGGCGUUCUUGCUAGAAACCCAAAUCAGCCACGUAAAACUUGCAACAACAAUUAGAGGACGUCUAACUUGUUUUUGCAGGGUUUGACAUGUGAUGUGAUAUGGCCAAAGUUGUGAUGUUGCAUGUAUAAUGUAUGAGAUGAUCAUGUUAUUGUAAUAGGUUUCACGACUUGCAUGUCGAUGAGUAUGACAACCGGCAGGAGCCAUAGGAGUUGUCUUAAUUUAUUGUAUGAGAUGCAACGCCAUGUGCUUACUACUUUUACUUCAUUGCUAACAGUUAGCUAUAGUAGUAGUGAUAGUAGUAGUUGGCGUGACGACAUCACAGAGACACGAUGAUGGAGAUCAUGAUGAUGGAGAUCAUGGUGUCACGCUGGUGACGAUGAUGAUCAUGCGAUGCCUGAAGAUGGAGAUCGAAAGAGCAAAGAUGAUAAUGGCCAUAUCAUGUCACUAUAUGAUUGCAUUGUGAUGUUUAUCAUGUUUUACAUCUUAUUGCUUAAAACGACGGUAGCAUAAUAAGAUGAUCCCUCUUAAAAUUUCAAGAACGUAUUCCCCUAAGUGUGCACCGUUGCGAAGGUUCAUUGUCUCGAAGCACCACGUGAUGAUCGGGUGUGAUAGAUUCUAACAUUCGCAUACAACCGGUGUAAGCCAGAUUUACACACGCGAAACACCUAGGUUGACUCGACGAGCUUAGCAUGUACAGACAUGACCUCGAAUACAAGAGACCGAAAGGUCGAACAUGACUCGUAUGGUUGAAUACGAUCAGCAUGCAGUUGCUCACCAUGGUGACUAGUCCGUCUCACGUGAUGAUCGGACACGGGUUAGUCAACAUGGAUCAUGUAUCACUUAGAUGACUAGAGGGAUGUCGAUUUAAGUGGGAGUUCAUACUUAAUUUGAUUAAAUGAAAUUAAUUGUCAUGAACUUAGUCUAAAAGUUGUCUUUAUAAAUAUUGUAGAUGUCCAACGUCAACCUCAAUUUCAACGCAUUCCUAGAGAAAAACAAGCUGAAAGAUGAUGGUAGCAACUAUGCGGACUGGGUUNNNNNNNNNNNNNNNNNNNNNNNNNNNNNNNNNNNNNNNNNNNNNNNNNNNNNNNNNNNNNNNNNNNNNNNNNNNNNNNNNNNNNNNNNNNNNNNNNNNNAAUACCCAGGAGCUACUACGAGCGCUGGUAAGGUACACAUCAAUAACAUGUAUAUCACAUAUACCUUUAACGUUGCCGGCCUUCUUGUCCGCUAAGUAUUUGGGGCAGUUCCGCUUCCAGUGACCCUUUCCCUUGCAAUAGAAGCACUCAGUCUCAGGCUUGGGUCCGUUCUUUUUCUUCUUCCCGGCAUCUGGCUUACCGGGCGCGGCAACAGCUUGGCCGUCUUUCUUGAAGUUCUUCUUACCCUUGCCUUUCUUGAAACUAGUGGUCUUGUUGACCAUCAAAACUUGAUGCUCUUUCUUGAUUUCUACUUCUGCAGAAUUGAGCACCGAGUACAACUCGGGAAUGGUCUUCUCCAUCCCUUGCAUGUUGUAGUUAAGCACAAAGCCUUUGUAGCUUGGUGGGAGAGACUGGAGGAUUCUGUCAAUUAUAGCAUCAUCCGGAAGUUCGACUCCAAGUGAAGUCAGACGACCGUGUAACCCAGACAUUUUGAGUAUGUGCUCACUGACAGAACUGUUCUCUUCCAUCUUACAGCUAAAGAACUUGUCGGAGACUUCAUAUCUCUCGGCACGGGCAUGAGCUUGAAAAACUAGCUUCAUCUCCUGGAACAUCUCAUAUGCCUCAUGUUGCUCAAAACGCCUUUGGAGCCCCGUUUCUAAACUGUAUAACAUGCUACACCUAACCAGAGAGUAGUCAUCACUCCGCGUUUUCCAGACGUUCAGAAUGUCCUGGGCUGCUGCGGGAGCGGGAGGGUCACCUAGCGGCGCAUCAAGGACAUAAGCCUUUUUAGCUGCUUCAAGGACGAGCUUCAAGUUGCGAACCCAGUCCGCAUAGUUGCUACCAUCAUCUUUCAGCUUGUUUUUCUCUAGGAAUGCGUUGAAAUUGAGGUUGACGUUGGACAUCUACAAUAUUUAUAAAGACAACUUUUAGACUAAGUUCAUGACAAUUAAGUUCAUUUAAUCAAAUUAAAUAUGAACUCCCACUUAAAUCGACAUCCCUCUAGUCAUCUAAGUGAUACAUGAUCCAUGUUGACUAACCCGUGUCCGAUCAUCACGUGAGACGGACUAGUCACCAUGGUGAGCAACUCCAUGCUGAUCGUAUUCAACCAUACGAAUCAUGUUCGACCUUUCGGUCUCUUGUAUUCGAGGUCAUGUCUGUACAUGCUAAGCUCGUCGAGUCAACCUNNNNNNNNNNNNNNNNNNNNNNNNNNNNNNNNNNNNNNNNNNNNNNNNNNNNNNNNNNNNNNNNNNNNNNNNNNNNNNNNNNNNNNNNNNNNNNNNNNNNGCGGAGACUGGCCAAGGACGAGGUGACGAUGCGCGUCGGGAAUGGUUCAAAGGUCGAUGUGAUCGCCGUCAGCACGCUGCCUCUACAUCUACCGUCGGGAUUAGUUUUAAACCUUAAUAAUUGUUAUUUAGUACCAGCUUUAAGCAUGAACAUUGUAUCAGGGUCUUGCUUAAUGCGAGACGGCUACUCAUUUAAGUCAGAGAAUAAUGGUUGUUCUAUUUAUAUGAGUGAUAUGUUUUAUGGUCAUGCUCCGCUGGUGAAUGGUUUAUUCUUGAUGAAUCUCGAUCGUGAUGUUACACAUAUUCAUAGUGUGAGUACCAAAAGAUGCAAAGUUGAUAAUGAUACUCCCACAUACUUGUGGCACUGCCGCCUUGGUCAUAUCGGCGUUAAGCGCAUGAAGAAGCUCCAUACUGAUGGACUAUUAGAGUCUCUUGACUUUGAAUCAUUUGACACAUGCGAACCGUGCCUCAUGGGCAAGAUGACUAAGACUCCAUUCUCAGGAAUAAUGGAGAGAGCAACCGACUUAUUGGAAAUAAUACAUAUUGAUGUGUGUGGUCCAAUGAACGUUGAAGCUCGCGGUGGUUAUCGUUAUGUUCUCACUCUCACCGAUGAUUUGAGUAGGUAUGGGUAUAUCUACUUGAUGAAGCACAAAUCUGAGACGUUUGAAAAGUUCAAGGAAUUUCAGAGUGAGGUUGAGAAUCAACGUGACAGAAAAAUUAAAUGUCUACGAUCUGAUCGUGGAGGAGAAUAUUUGAGUCACGAGUUUGGCACACACCUAAGGAAGUGUGGAAUCGUUUCACAACUGACGCCGCCUGGCACACCGCAGCGCAACGGAGUGUCUGAACGUCGUAAUCGCACUUUAUUAGAUAUGGUACGAUCUAUGAUGUCUCUCACCGACUUACCGCUAUCAUUUUGGGGAUACGCAUUAGAAACUGCAGCAUUCACUUUAAAUAGGGCACCGUCUAAAUCCGUUGAGACGACACCGUAUGAACUAUGGUUUGGCAAGAAACCUAAGUUGUCGUUUCUUAAAGUUUGGGGCUGCGAUGCUUAUGUGAAGAAACUUCAACUAGAAAAGCUCCAACCCAAAGAGGAGAAAUGCGUAUUCAUAGGAUACCCUAAGGAAACUAUUGGGUAUACCUUCUAUCUUAGAUCCGAAGGUAAAACCUUUGUUGCCAAGAACGGAUCCUUUCUAGAGAAAGAGUUUCUCUCGAAAGAAGUAAGUGGGAGGAAGGUAAAACUUGAUGAGGUAAUUGCACCCCCUCUCGAACAGGAAAGUAGCGCAGCGCGGGAAGUUGUUCCUGUGGCGCCUAUACCGAAUGAAGAGGAAGUUAAUGAUGAUGAUCAUGAAGCUUCGGAUCAAGUUACUACUGAACCGCGAAGGUCCACAAGGGCACGCUCCGCACCAGAGUGGUACGGCAACCCUGUGAUGGAAAUCAUGUUGUUAGACAAUGGUGAGCCUUCGAACUAUGAAGAAGCAAUGGCGGGCCCGGAUUCCAACAAAUGGCUUGAGGCUAUGAAAUCCGAGAUAGGAUCCAUGUAUGAGAACAAAGUAUGGACUUUGGUGGACUUGCCCGAUGACCGGCGAGCCAUAGAAAAUAAAUGGAUCUUCAAGAAGAAGACUGAUGCAAACGGUAAUGUAACCGUUUACAAAGCUCGACUUGUCGCAAAGGGUUUUCGACAAAUUCAAGGAGUUGACUACGAAGAGGCUUUCUCUCCCGUAGCGAAGCUGAAAUCAGUUCGAAUCAUGUUAGCAAUUGCCGCCUUUUAUGAUUAUGAAAUUUGGGAAAUGGACGUCAAAACAGCGUUCCUUAACGGGAACCUUAAGGAAGAGUUGUAUAUGAUGCAACCAGAAGGUUUUGUCGACCCUAAGGGUGCUAACAAAGUGUGCAAGCUCCAGCGCUCCAUCUAUGGGCUGGUGCAAGCAUCUCGGAGUUGGAACAUUCGCUUUAAUGAGGUAAUUAAAGCGUUUGGGUUCAUACAGGUUUACGGAGAAACCUGUCUGUACAAGAAAGUGAGUGGGAGCUCUGUAGCUUUCCUCAUACUAUAUGUGGAUGACAUAUUAUUGAUGGGGAAUAAUAUAGAGAUGUUGGAGAGCAUAAAGGCCUAUUUGAACAAGAGUUUUUCAAUGAAGGACCUUGGAGAAGCUGCAUACAUAUUAGGCAUCAAGAUCUAUAGAGAUAGAUCGAGACGCCUCAUAGGUCUUUCGUAAAGUACAUACCUUGACAAGAUAUUGAAGAAGUUCAAUAUGGAAAACUCAAAGAAAGGGUCAUUGCCAGUUUUGCAAGGUAUGAGAUUGAGUAAGACUCAGUCGCCGACCACGGCAGUAGAUAGAGAGAAGAUGAGUUAUGUCCCCUACGCUUCAGCCGUGGGCUCUCUAAUGUAUGCCAUGUUGUGUACCAGACCUGAUAUAAACCUUGCCAUAAGUUUGGUAGGGAGGUACCAAAGUAAUCCCGGUACGGAACACUCGACAGCGGUCAAGAAUAUCCUUAAGUACCUGAAAAGGACUAAGGAAAUAUUUCUCGUUUAUGGAGGUGACGAAGAGCUCGUCGUAAAGGGUUACGUCGACGCUAGCUUCGACAUAGAUCCGGAUGACUCUAAGUCACAGACCGGAUACGUAUAUGUGUUGAAUGGUGGGGCAGUGAGCUGGUGCAACAGCAAGCAAGAAGUCGUGGCAGCAUCUACAUGUGAAGCGGAGUACAUAGCUGCUUCAGAAGCGGCUCAUGAAGGAAUUUGGAUGAAGGAGCUCAUCACUGACCUUGGAGUGGUUCCAAGCGCGUCGGGUCCCAUGACACUCUUCUGUGAUAACACUGGAGCCAUUGCCAUAGCCAAGGAGCCCAGGUUUCACUGAAAGACGAAGCACAUCAAGCGCCGCUACAACUCCAUCCAGGACCAUGUCCAGAGUGGAGUGAUAGAUAUUUGUAAAGUACACACGGAUCUGAAUAUUGCAGACCCGUUGACUAAACCUCUUCCACGAGCAAAACAUGAUCAACACCAUAAUGCUAUGGGUGUUCGAUACAUCACAAUGUAACUAGAUUAUUGACUCUAGUGCAAGUGGGAGACUGUUGGAAAUAUGCCCUAGAGGCAAUAAUAAAAUGGUUAUUAUCAUAUUUCCUCGUUCAUGAUAAUCGUCUAUUGUUCAUGCUAUAAUUGUAUUAACAGGAAACAGUAAUACAUGUGUGAAUAAAUAGAUCACAAUGUGUCCCUAGGAAGCCUCUAGUUGGCUAGCUCGUUAGUCAAUAGAUGAUCAUGGUUUCCUGAUCAUGGGCAUUAGAUGUCAUUGAUAACGGGAUCACAUCAGUGGGAGAAUGAUGUGAUGGACAAGACCCAAUCCUAAGCCUAGCACUAGAUCGUAUUGUUCGUAUGCUAAUGCUUUUCUAAUGUCAAGUAUCUUUUCCUUCGACCGUGAGAUUGUGCAACUCCCAGAUGCCGUAGGAGUGCUUUGGGUGUAUCAAACGUCACAACGUAACUGGGUGACUAUAAAGGUGCACUACGGGUAGGGGGGGGGGGGGGGGUUGGGUUGGUACGAAUCGAGAUCGGGAUUUGUCACUCCGUGUGACGGAGAGGUAUCUCUGGGCCCACUCGGUAGAACAUCAUCAUGAGCUCAAUGUGACUAAGGAGUUAGUCACACGAUGAUGUGCUACGGAACGAGUAAAGAGACUUACCGGUAACGAGAUUGAACAAGGUAUAGGUAUACCGACGAUCGAAUCUCGGGCAAGUUCUAUACCGACAGACANNNNNNNNNNNNNNNNNNNNNNNNNNNNNNNNNNNNNNNNNNNNNNNNNNNNNNNNNNNNNNNNNNNNNNNNNNNNNNNNNNNNNNNNNNNNNNNNNNNNGGGGGGGGGGGAGGGUGUUAGAUUUGUAUUGCCCCUUUUUUGUAUAUCCCCAUUAUAUAAGGGGUUUCUACCACUUUUACCAUAUGUAUAUAUAUUGGCCUUUGGCCCCUGUGAAUAUUUGCUCAUUAUCUAACAGAUCCAACACAAGGUUGGGUCGAAGCUAGUUUAUAUCUGGGACGUUACACCAACCUCUCAAGCCAAUCCAACAUUGCAGACAGAUUUAUGAUACACUUCCUUUUCACGAGCCCGAGGCAAUGUACCUAUGUCAAAAAAAGUAGGAGUUCGAGGCAAUGUACCUAAUACAAACUGUGAAGCCUUCCCACCUAGGCUAUACAUGAGGUCCUUGAGAUGCUCUAUAAGAUAUCGGUUAAAAGAGAAAACGUCCAAAAUAAGAGAAAUAUAACUAUAUUUUUUUUGUAUUUGUCGCUUCAAAGGAUCAGUAUGUUGGACAAGAAGAGAAGCACUGAAGUAGCAUCACUCAUCAUCAAGGUCAAAAUCGUUGUCCGAUGCGCACUCGAGAUAUGAACCAAUCGACUUGCGGAAGAUGAUGAAAGACUUGUCAUCCUGUGAAAAAAGAAUGCAUUAUUUUGCAGGAAGAGGUGUUUCAAGCCAUGGAACAAAAAAAACUGGCUGGUCAUUCAGCUUUAGGCCUGACGGGUAGCUAAAAAUGAAGUCUAAGAAAUGCAAGCAGUUGUGAAUUUUGCCACACCUGCUUCAUCCUUUUCAGUGAUGGUUUGGCAUUUGUUAUCUUAUCUGAUAAGGUGUCACCAUGUUCUGACAAUGUAGCCGUCUCCUCCCCUGUUUGAAGGAUUUGAGUGUAAGAGCAGCAUAUUUCCAUCCAAGGGAAAUAAUGAAUCCUCUAGCUACUUACUUUGAUAUUCAUACUGCUCAAGCAGUUUCUUUUUCUCAACUUCAAUUUGUGAGGAUAGAUCUGCAUAAUAGGACAUGUAACAAGUCAAAUAAGAGCCAAAUAUUUUUGCAGAUUCAAUGAGAUCUGAACGUCUUUUAUGGGAACAUCAUCCAAAUAAUGCUGAGUCGCUAAUAAGCAGUAGCCAAGCAAUGCAUAUUUAGAAACAACACACAUAAUUUGAAUACAAGUGUCAUGUAGAUUCUAUUUGCAUCAAAACCAGGUAUCUCAAUAUUUUUUCUAAAGAUAAGAAUCACAGCUCAUACGUAGUAGCCGAUUACACCAAAUGAGAAACAACCAUCACACGUCACAAUGCCCUAAAAUCCUAGAUAGACCUGGAUAGAAGCACAUGAUAUACUUGUGAAAAUGACAACCAGCUCUUAUUUGACAUACCUUUGAAGGUUUGUAAGUGUGCAUCAUUUUCUUCGCAGAACAUUUCAUAUGUUUCCUGAAGCUUGGUGUACUCUUCGUUCAAUGAACUUUCACACUGCUAAUAGUGCAAAUUACACGCCAUAAUUCAAUCUUAGGCAAAUCAGCAAGUAAGUCGACAAUUCCAAAGAAUUGUAAACUGUGUACCUCUUUCGAAGUGCUUGACAGUACUUUCAGCAAAUUCUGCCUGCACAUGCAAAUAUAACAGUGACACUACGUUCUAAAUAAAAACGAACAAGCUUCCUUUUCUGACAGAACUGGUUUCAGGCGUAAUUGUUCAUGCAGGCAUCGUUUCACAGUUCACAAGCAAGUGAGUUACCUUUCCUUCUCAAACUUGGACUUGGUAUCUUCAAGCAUAGUCUGAAUAUUGGCUGCAACACUGUCAGGUUUAGAAAAGUAAAGGAAUAAACAGGGUAAGAAGAAGGUAAAAGAAUAAUGAUCAGCAACAUUAUGCGCUUCAAACUUCACAGUUCAGUCAGCGGAGUCCCUGUUAGUCCACAUGUUAUAAUUUUCGGCUUCUUUUCCUCCCCGAUGCCUGUGUAAAUAAUUCUUUGUAAUAGUUCUGAGAAGUUUAUAGAAAUGUUCAGGCUGGCUUUGCCGGCCGUAGUUCUGAAAAUCAACUCACCCGAACAAAGCCACACCAUGACAUAAGUACAAAACAUGAAUCCGGGAACCCAUCAAAUUAAUAUGUCCAUUUUCCUCGCAUCACUCACAAUGCAUAUCGCUCCGCAUAAUAUACAAAAACUGACAUAUCACCGAACGAACCUAGUUCCUGCAUUAAUCACAGAAACAGCCGAGUGGACGCAUUGCAGGAUUGCAAACGUGCAACAUUUAUUUGUAUCCCUCCCAGUGACCAUGAACUGUAAGUUUUCCACACAAAUCCGCCAGCACGAAAUGCAUCAUAAGAAGCUGCUAGGAUAGCAUACGCCGAUCCCAAUUUUUUUGCACGCUAGCACAUAGCGAGAUAAGAGAAAAUUUAGAGGUGCAAGUGCAACCGAAAGAACACUGUUCUCCGCACCUGGCGAUGAUCUGCUCGCACAUCUUCUGGCCAGCCUUGUUGGUCCCGCCCUUGAUCAACCGCAGCAGGCACGCGAUCUGCCUCAAGUCGCUGCGCCCGCCACAAAAGUAGCCAUCACGGAGUUAAAGCGAGAAGGAAUUAGAAACGGGAGACACCGAAUCGAAGAGGAAAAGCUCGAAAUCAGAUGUGCGGCACCUGACGAAAUCGCCGUCAGAUUCCGAGCCGGAGCUGGAGCCGGAAUCGGAACCGGAGCCGAAAUCCACGGGGUGGCGCGGCCUCUUCGACGACCGCAGAGCCUCUUCACCCAGGGACAUCCUCCUUCCGCCGCCGGGACUCGCCGCGGGCCGCAUCGCUGGUCGACGAGCGUAGUGCAGCGCAAUUCGAAAUUUGGAGGGGGAGCGAGAGGGUAGUGAUGUAAUACUGGCAAAAUUUUGGUGGCCCACUCACAGUAUUGGCUUUUGUAAGGGAAAGUGUUCGUGCGCGCAAGGCUACGAGCAACUAGUUCCUCCUCUUGUAAUUUUUUUUUCCUUCGACGCGUCCGUUGAAGUGUUCGGCCGGUCGCGUUCCUUCCUCACGUUUUUCUUCCACCUUUUCCUUUUCCCCUCCCGCGCACACUCGGAUUUUUUCACUGUUUUAACCUUUUUUCUAAANNNNNNCACAAAAUGAACCAGAUUUGAAACCAUUUCACGAUCUGACCCUUUUAAAAACGCCACAAGCCGUGGCGUUGCUNNNNNNNNNNNNNNNNNNNNNNNNNNNNNNNNNNNNNNNNNNNNNNNNNNNNNNNNNNNNNNNNNNNNNNNNNNNNNNNNNNNNNNNNNNNNNNNNNNNNUGGACAAGAAUACAUGGAGUUACUCAAGCCAUUGAAUCAUUUGACUUUGUUUUCAAUCUUCACUUGAUGCUUGUUAUUCUUGGCUAUACAAAUGAGUUGUCCAAAUCUUUGCAAAAGAGAGAUCAAGAUACUAUUAAUGCAGUGGCACUUGUUAGUUUGGCAAAGAGUAGAAUGCGACACAUGAGGUGUCAUGGUUAGGAAGAAUUUCUUGCAAAGCUAACCCUAUUUUGCCAGAAACAUGACAUUCAAGUUCCUUUGUGGGAGGAUACUUAUGCAGGGGCAGAAUUAGCAUGGGUUCACGUCUAGGGCCAAAUUAGCUUCAGUGGUGUAUUUUAGAGAUUUUUUGUACUUAGUAAGUAGGUAUUACAAAGACUAUUGUCACUACACCUAGGGCUAUAGCCCCAUUUUCCCUAGGCCUGAUUCCAACAUUGUACUUAUGAGCAUCAUGGAAUAUCACGUUGGUAUAAUGAAGUUCAAACAAAUGAUGAUCGUUAUAAAAGAGAAGUAUAUCUUGGUGUCAUUGAUCAAACCAUUCUAUCCCAUGGACAUAUCAAGCACGGAUUUGAUAAGGCUAGAAUUUCAACUUGCUACUUUUAUUGAUGAUACGAGACAAGAUGAUAUUGGUGAGCUCUCUAUUUUACUUGUUGCAACAAAGAAUCAUAUUCUCUAUGAUUUGGUCUACUUACUCAUCAAAUUGAUAUUGAUUUUACCGAUGGCAACAACGAGUGUUGAAAGGGUAUUUUCUGCAAUGAAUCUAGUGAAAAAUAAAUUAAGGACUAGUAUGGGUGAUGAUCGUUUGGUGACAAUUAUUAAGCGAGAUGUGUUCAUGAAAGUAAAUGAAGAUGACAUAGUUGAUGCUUUCAUGACAAUGCAACGACGUAGAGUUACCUAGUGUUGUAAUUUUCUACUUCUGUUACUUUCAUGUAAGUCUUUUCUAUUGUAACUGGGCACAUUUGAAAUACAUUUUAUGUACUAAAUGGUUGUGAGAUUUCAAUUGAGCUAUUUAUGUUACUCAUUUGACAUAUUUUGAUACAUUUGGAUUAGGUAGGAAAAAAAUAGAGUGCGCAUGCCCUUUAUUUUAUUCCUGGGUACCCACACAAUGGAACGCAAAAAUAUCCAGCCGAGCGAGCAGUAAAUCCACCAUACGGGAUGUGCAUACUUAAUACUCCUACAUUGCAACAAAUAAUCGUGAAAAAAAAUGGAAAAAGAAACCAUAUGCGAUCAGGCACAUGACGAAGGAAGGGUCACAUGAAUGAAGAAGAGAGAAAAGCCACAUAUCGACCCGAAUAGCGAAGUGUGGGAGCCGCGAUGGCGGGCACUGGCAGCCAUACAUUGGGCUAUCCAAAAUCUCAUCUCUCGCCCAAUCCCGGCCUCACGAUCUCAAUUCUCACCCCGCGUGCACCACAAGCUCCAAUCCCCUAACUCGUAUAUACAGCCACGCCCGCCUCACCGUCCUUGAUCUUCCCCCCUAUCUGAUCGGAUCCUUUGGACAUGGCGUCGCCCAUGCUCUCCACGGCCAUGGCGCCACUCCAGGUAUUGCUCGUGUUCCAUUUCCAUUCCAUGCUUGCGUAGUAGUACAGUUCUUCCAUGUUUGUGACGCGCGGUGGUUAUGUAACUGGACUGCCAUGCAUCCUCUGUCGAUCCAGGGGGGCAUGCUGGAGUUCUCCGGGCUGAGGAGCUCGUCGUCGCUGCCGCUCCGGCGGAAUGCCACCUCCGACGACUUCAUGUCCGCCGUCUCCUUCAGGACAUACGCGGUAUGAUAUGAAUAUGAUGGGCGGAAUGUGGCUGUCACCUAGGAGUACGUAGCUCGCUUGGUCGCAUGCCAUGAGACAUGAGCGGCGCGUGGUACGGUGGUUGCAGGUGAGCACGAGCGGCGGGUCGCGGAAGGCGCCGACGGAGGCGAAGCUCAAGGUGGCGAUCAACGGGUUCGGGCGCAUCGGGCGCAACUUCCUGCGGUGCUGGCACGGGCGCGGCGACAGCUCGCCGCUGGAGGUGAUCGCCAUCAACGACACCGGAGGCGUGAAGCAGGCGUCCCACCUCCUCAAGUACGACUCCACGCUGGGCAUCUUCGACGCGGACGUCAAGCCCGUGGGCGACAACGCCAUCUCCGUCGACGGCAAGGUGAUCAAGGUCGUGUCCGACCGCAACCCCUCCAACCUGCCGUGGGGCGAGAUGGGCAUCGACCUCGUCAUCGAGGGCACCGGCGUCUUCGUCGACCGCGCCGGCGCGGGCAAGCAUCUCGAGGCCGGAGCCAAGAAGGUGCUCAUCACCGCGCCCGGCAAGGGCGACAUCCCCACCUACGUCUGCGGCGUCAACGCCGACCUCUACACCCACGCCGACACCAUCAUCAGCAACGCCUCAUGCACCACCAACUGCCUCGCCCCCUUCGUCAAGGUCCUCGACCAAAAGUUCGGUACGUGCCCGUCUCCCUCCCUCUCUCUCUCUCUCAACUGAAUCAACUUGUUGACGAUGACUAAUGGCGGCGGUGGCAAUGGCGCAGGCAUCAUCAAGGGAACCAUGACCACAACCCACUCGUACACCGGCGACCAGAGGCUGCUCGACGCGAGCCACCGCGACCUGCGCCGUGCCCGCGCCGCCGCCCUCAACAUAGUGCCGACCUCCACCGGCGCGGCCAAGGCCGUGGCGCUGGUGCUCCCCAACCUCAAGGGCAAGCUCAACGGGAUCGCGCUCCGGGUGCCCACCCCCAACGUGUCCGUCGUCGACCUCGUGGUGCAGGUCUCCAAGAAGACCCUCGCCGAGGAGGUGAACCAGGCGUUCCGCGACGCCGCCGCCAACGAGCUCAAGGGCAUCCUCGACGUCUGCGACGAGCCCCUCGUGUCCGUCGACUUCAGGUGCUCCGACGUCUCCUCCACCAUCGACGCGUCGCUCAGCAUGGUCAUGGGAGACGACAUGGUCAAGGUCAUUGCAUGGUACGACAACGAGUGGGGUUACUCCCAGAGGGUCGUCGACCUCGCCGACAUCGUCGCCAACCAAUGGAAGUGAACGCCCCCCCACAGCGGCAUUGCCCUGUCAAGUGACUCCUCUCGAAAUUUUCCCCAGCCGUCGUCACGGAUGAUCGAUUCUUUGUAAUGAGAAUUCAAAGUAUCGAGCUCCCAACAC
rnacentral:lncRNA from 1 species